GCGCCAGACUCCUACGGGAGGCAGCAGUGAGGAAUAUUGGUCAAUGGCCGAAGGGCUGAACCAGCCAAGCCGCGUGAAGGAAUAAGGCCCUACGGGUCGUAAACUUCUUUAGUCAGGGAACAAAGGGUGCCACGUGUGGCGCUGUGAGUGUACCUGAAGAAUAAGCAUCGGCUAACUCCGUGCCAGCAGCCGCGGUAAUACGGAGGAUGCGAGCGUUAUCCGGAUUUAUUGGGUUUAAAGGGUGCGUAGGCGGAAUAUCAAGUCAGCGGUAAAAAUUCGGGGCUCAACCCCGUCGUGCCGUUGAAACUGAUGUUCUUGAGUGGGCGAGAAGUAUGCGGAAUGCGUGGUGUAGCGGUGAAAUGCAUAGAUAUCACGCAGAACUCCGAUUGCGAAGGCAGCAUACCGGCGCCCAACUGACGCUGAAGCACGAAAGCGUGGGUAUCGAACAGGAUUAGAUACCCCGGUAAU
rnacentral:rRNA from 1 species